UGUGCCCCUUUCCUGGCCCCUGCAGGUCUGCACAGUCCUGAGUGCUCGUGCCGCGCAAAUGAGUGUCUGAGCUUGGAGAGCUGGCCUCCGCACUGGGCUUCCUGAGGCCAGGAGGGUGCCAGCCAGCCCCUGGGGAUCUGAGGAGGUCUGGGAGCUGGCUUUGAACUUCUGCCCACGCUGGAACUUGGGGAGAAGAGGGAGAUAAAAUUUGGAAACAGGGAAAAGAGAAAGAAGAGGAAAAGAUGCCGAAAUAUACCUAGAAAGGCCCUGUGAACAUGCAGCUGGGUUUCCUGCUACUCCUUCCUCUACGCAGGCUGAAUACUAUUCCAUUAUGGAUAUCGUGCAUGUUGCUCAUGCAUUCAUCAGUCAAUGGACACUGGGGGGUAGCUUCUGCCCAAGUUUUAGACACUGUGAGUAAUGCUGCCGUGAACAUGCGUGCACAAAUAUCUCUUCAAUACCCUGUGUUCAGUCCUUUUGGAUAUAUGCCCAGAAGUGGACCUCCUCAUCACAUGGUA